AUUCAGAUUUCAGCCUCUGCUUCAGCCGACACUCUUCACUCUUCAGUGGCGGAUGCCCUUGUCUCUCAAACCUAGGGCCGAAGACUACCGUUAAAACCCCUCAAACUGCUUGAAUCGAAUCCCUUUCUCUUCAGCCCUGUUUCUCCGUUGUCGUCCUUUUUUACCUUCAAGUAAAGGGACGCUGCCAAAAGGCCGCCGACGCCGGAGCCGGGUGCUUUAGCUAUCAAGGCACGUACAUUUCCAAUAAUACUAAGAUAGAAUGAAGCUCUGGUGGUCACAUGCGACAUGUUCUGAAGUAUACAUAUGCCUGGAAUGAAGCGACAUGCUCUGGAAUGAAGACAGCUUCUUGAUUUAUGCAUAGUCAAUGCAUUAUGCCAUGUUUGCUGGAUUUGAGAAUGUCUAUAUAGUGUAUAUUUUUCUCAUUUAUAUACCCUUUUUGGAAGUUAUGUAUCAAAGUAGAUAUUUCUAACUUUAUGAUUUGGUGUGGAACUACUGCUACUGAUCAUUUUUGAGAUUUGAA